AAAAAAAAAAAAAAGAAAAACUAAUCACUCUUCAGAAUCAUCUGAAUUAGAUUAUUGCAAUUAGUGGACAAAGUUUUAGUGAGAUUAUUGCAAUUAGUGUAUCUUUCCCAGACUAUAAACUCAAUCAGCUCUAAUUUAAUCGGGUUGACAAAGAUUAUCUUCGGCCAUGUUUUAAGAGAAGCAAAUUCUAUCGCAGAUUUGUCCUUUCAUUGCUUUGGUCUGGGGCCCUUGACUGGUUGUCGCAUCUUAUCCAAUCCUAGGUACUGUCCUCCAUGUCUUUUCUGUGCUCUGUUUUUAACAUGUUGGUCCUUUUUUUUGUUUUUAUAAGAAAAAUUAUUCUCCAUGUUUUUAACAUGCUGGUCCUUUAUUUUGAGUUCAUGGCUGGGUUUGCUAAGUGUUUAGUCAGGUCAAUGGUGACAAAAUCAAUCCAAAUUGAACUGGGUCAUAUUCACCUAUUGUUUUUAGCUAUUCCCCUCAAGAAACUAAUUUGGUUGCAGAUGUGCUACAUAAACAGGGUGUCAAUGCUUUUUUAUGAUUAUGUUCCUUGUUGUUUUGGUUCUUUCCGGUCUGAACUAUCUUCUGCUUGCUCUUGUACUGUUGGUUGCUUGUCUUUCUGUUGGGCUUGCUAUUUUGUACUGGGCCACCAUUAGGCUCCUUUGUGUUGAUCUGAUCUGUUUCUUUGGUGGUUUUUUCACUUAGCAAUUAAGCAUAUCUUGCUCUAAGUUGGGUGUAUGAGGGAGGUCUGAUAAACAGGUAUAGGUGAAUGUUAUAUGCAAAGUUUUUCUUAAAUUUUUAUUAAUAAAAUAGUCCUUGCUUAUCCCAAAAUAGAAACAACUGAUGAUCAAACAAACAUCGAAUUACAAGAUAUUGAGAUUGGAAAUAUUGCAAUAUAUUUUCGAAUUCGAAACCAGAAAACAGUGGUAGAGGAAAGUAAAGGCAAAGCAUCGUCAAACACUAUAAGAAAUGUAGAACUUAAUUAACUUUAUUGUUGAAUAUUAUUAUCUUUUCUUCAAGUAUUAAAUUUAUAAAAAGCAUAAAUAAAAUUUAUUAUUGAAUACUAAGAAUCCAAAUACCUACUAUGAUCCUGUUCGGCAACAGCUUUUAAAAUAGCGCUAGUCAAGACACCACCUCUAUUAUUUAUACUAUUUAAUGGCAU
rnacentral:misc_RNA from 1 species